rnacentral:miRNA from 1 species
ACUGCAAAACCAGCACUUAAGG